rnacentral:rRNA from 1 species
AUUGAACGCUGGCGGCAGGCCUAACACAUGCAAGUCGAACGAGUGGCGGACGGGUGAGUAAUGUCUGGGAAACUGCCUGAUGGAGGGGGAUAACUACUGGAAACGGUAGCUAAUACCGCAUACCAUCAGAUGGAGACAGAUGGGAGUAGCUAGUUGGUGGGGUAACGGCUCACCAAGGCGACGAUCCCUAGCUGGUCUGAGAGGAUGACCAGCCACACUGGAACGGAGACACUGCCCAGACUCCUACUGGAGGCAGCAGUGGGGAAUAUUUCACAAUGGGCGCAAGCCUGAUGCAGCCAUGCCGCGUGUAUGAAGAAGGCCUUCGGGUUGUAAAGUACUUUCAGCGGGGAGGCGUUACCCGCAGAAGAAGCACCGGCUAACUCCGUGCCAGCAGCCGCGGUAAUUC